CCCUAUGGGGUGCAGCAGGCCCAGGGCCGGUUGCGCGACUGGGUGAGCAAUGACUUGCCCGCCAAGCGGGUGGAACUCCAGACUUCCCUCGAUGGCCUCCGGCGGCGGAUAUCCUCAAGGCUCCGCGACGAUCUGGAGCCGGAGGGGAGGGUGGCCCGAGGACUCCGUGAGGAGAUCAGGCGGGACGCGGCAAACUGGGAUGCGCCCGCGAUCGUUGGACGAGCUAGGGAGUUGCAGCAGCAGUUGUUGGACAGGGCGUUUGCCGCGGUCGCCGAAGCGCAGGGGGCGCAGAAUGACGAAGCCAGAAAGAUAAUCGAGGAUGGCCUCGGCGGGAAUUGGCGGGAGGGC
rnacentral:rRNA from 1 species